UGGGGAAUUGUUCACAAUGGGCGCAAGCCUGAUGACGCAACGCCGCGUGGGGGAUGAAGGUCUUCGGAUCGUAAACCCUUGUCGAACGGGAAGAACGACUCGCGCACUAACACUGCGCGGGACUGACGGUACCGUUAAAGGAAGCCACGGCUAACUCUGUGCCAGCAGCCGCGGUAAUACAGAGGUGGCAAGCGUUGUUCGGAAUUACUGGGCGUAAAGGGCGCGUAGGCGGCCAUCUAAGUCAGACGUGAAAUCCCCAGGCUUAACCUGGGAACUGCGUCUGAUACUGGAAGGCUCGAGUUUGGGAGAGGGAUGUGGAAUUCCAGGUGUAGCGGUGAAAUGCGUAGAUAUCUGGAGGAACACCGGUGGCGAAGGCGGCAUCCUGGACCAACACUGACGCUGAGGCGCGAAAGCUAGGGGAGCAAACGGG
rnacentral:rRNA from 1 species